rnacentral:lncRNA from 1 species
GAGCCUGAGGAGGGAAGGUCAGCCCUGAGGAGGGAACAGCACAAGCCAGGCUCGCGUGUUGACAUGAAGGGUUCUCUGAGCCCAGCCUGAGCAAAUACUAACACACACCGCCUGUGCUGGCUACUGUCUAGCAGCCACUGGUCCCGAAACUCCACACAGUCAGGCCAUCUCUGAAGCCGCCAACACGCACCUACCUUCUGGGCAAGAACACGAAUCUGUCAUUUGCACUCGUGUAUUUGCAAUCGGUGCGAACACUCACAGUCUCUAUGCUGCAUGUGGGGAACACGCAGCCAUUUCAACUAUGAAAAAAAAGAAGACGGCAGACAACAGUUUAAAAAAAGGAGACCAGGAGCAUCAUAUUUCACUGAGUAAAUUGACAAAAGGUCAAAAAGCUUGAUCUUGGCCACUGAUGUGCUUGGUCUGAAAGCUAAACUGCCACUUAAAUAUUCAUAGGCAAGCGCGGUAGCUGCAGCCUCCGGUUGCCCUGAGUCCACAGAGGAGCAAGGCUGGGGCCAUUUUAUGAGAAAAAACAAGCUCCCUCCCGAGCCGGGUUCUGGGCAGGAGAGGACUCUGCUCCUGCAACCAGCCCGCACCCGCUGAGCCUUCGUUGCUGUGUCCUGUAUCCCAGAAGAAUGGUCACUCUGUCACCAUGGCUGGAGUAGUGGCACAAUCUCGGCUCAUUGCAACCUCCACCUCUUAGGCUCAAGCAGUCCACCUGCCUCAGCCUUCCAAAGUGCUGUGAUUACAGGCGUGAGCCACCACGCCCAGCCCAUUCUUUUACUACGUCUUCAAAAAUCUUAACAUGACACAUUUCUGUUCAGUCAAGCCACAGUUCCAGAGCUCGAUGGCCACAGGUGGCUCCUGUGUCUACGAGACAGGCAGAGGGCCAGGCUAGUGCUGCACCAUGCAUUCAGGAAGGGAGCAGGAACCUCCUCUCUUCAUUCUCUACCCUUCUCUCUGGAAUCUCAUGGGAAUCUCCUCUCGGUGACUGUUCUUAUUGCCACGUGAACAACGGACCAAGGAGGAUGGAGGUCUCUGAGGAGGGGCAGGAUUCUGGUGGGAACCGUAUGAGGGGAAACUGGGAGACAGGCAUGGCCUGAAAUGGGGUCGUGAAUAUGGAGAAAUCUGGACGAAGCUGGAGCCUCAGGGUUGGAAGAGUUGCGGUCUCUGGGCUGGUGAGCACAGACUCCAGCUGCCUUGAACUCUGGGGCCCAUGACAGAAACUACUCUCCUGCCCCAUGCUGGAGGCUGC